UACACUCCUACGGGAGGCAGCAGUGGGGAAUUUUGGACAAUGGGCGAAAGCCUGAUCCAGCAAUGCCGCGUGAGUGAAGAAGGCCUUCGGGUUGUAAAGCUCUUUUGUCAGGGAAGAAACGGUGAGAGCUAAUAUCUUUUGCUAAUGACGGUACCUGAAGAAUAAGCACCGGCUAACUACGUGCCAGCAGCCGCGGUAAUACGUAGGGUGCAAGCGUUAAUCGGAAUUACUGGGCGUAAAGCGUGCGCAGGCGGUUUUGUAAGUCUGAUGUGAAAUCCCCGGGCUCAACCUGGGAAUUGCAUUGGAGACUGCAAGGCUAGAAUCUGGCAGAGGGGGGUAGAAUUCCACGUGUAGCAGUGAAAUGCGUAGAUAUGUGGAGGAACACCGAUGGCGAAGGCAGCCCCCUGGGUCAAGAUUGACGCUCAUGCACGAAAGCGUGGGGAGCAAACAGGAUUAGAAACCCCGGUAGUCCCAUG
rnacentral:rRNA from 1 species